rnacentral:tRNA from 1 species
GCGUGAGUAGCUCAGCAGGAUAGAGCGUCCCUCUCCUAAAGGGAAGGUCGCGGGUUCGAAUCCCGCCUCGCGCA